CUUUAUCCUUUUUUUUCUCUGUUCAGAUGAUUCAGAAAAUGGGCAUUUUCAUUGGUGACACUUACAAGAGAAUUGCAAAUAAAAAAUGCUAUUUUUUUGAUCCUAAAAAUGUUGUAUGUGAAAUAAUAUGUACAGAUAAAGAAAGAAAAUACACAACACAAGGCCUGGGUUGUUAUUUAAGAUCUGGUCUUAUAGUGACAGUCUAUCAUGUUUUAGAAGAUAAUUAUGAAAUAUCUGUAAGGUUUUUAAAUCAAUCCUGUAAUUUGUGGUACAAGGCUCAAUGUAUAAAAACAGAUCAAAAGCAUGAUUUGGCUUUGAUUCAGUUUCAAGAAUCUAUUGAUGAUCUACCAUACCAAAAAAUUCUAAUUAAAAAUGAAAUAGAAAAAAAUGAUAAGAUAUAUUUUUUAGCUCAGGGACCUAAAGGCCUCCAAAAGAAGGACGGCAGAAUUGUUAUGAUUCCCGGACCUAAACAUACUAUAGAUGGUGUACUACACAAUGAAUUUCUGAUUUCUGAAAAAGGGGUUGAAGGGGACAGUGGAAGUCCUGUUUUUUCAGAUUGUAAAUUAGUUGGGAUAUACCGUGGAGUUGCCGAGCCCACAAAGAAGAUACGGCCUAAUGAAGAAUAUGGCAUGGUUAUGAAGAUUGAUGAAUCUUUUCUAAAAUUGUAGUCAAUCAUUUUAAAUAUUAUAUACUUCAUCAUUUAUCAUUAGAACCCUUUUCUUUGCAGAUAGCCUGUACCACCCUUUGCUUUAAGAAUGUUUCCUAAGAAUGUUUCUAAAUGAACACAAAAAAAUCCUAAUAUCCCCUAUAAUUUUAAUGUUGGCAACCUUUGCUUGUCACAUUCCUCUCUCUCCACCAAGUACUUUCCUACCCUUCUUUACAAUAAAAAAUAAUGAUUUGACUGUGAGGGUAAGAUGCAAUUCUGAUACUGUGUACUUGUGAAAUUGCCCAUUGUUCGCCACUUCCCGAAGAGAGAUCUUGUGUCUUACCCAAAACAACAUUGUGUCCUGUGUCGAUCUGAAGCACCAAGAAAUCUUGGAAAAAAACAUUUAGGUCAAGUUUCUUCAGGAACUUGGUACACCUUUCCUGUCACCUCAUCAACUAAAUCUGCUCCAGACUGCACAAGAUGACACUACGGGUCAAGCAGACUGUCUUACUCUCCCUUUGUCUCACCACCUGUGCAUCAUACUGAAAAACAACUGAAUCUGCUCAUGACUGCACACUUAAAGACACUAUACGGGACUAGUUUUUCUUUCUCUCUCUCUCUCUCUCUCUCUCUCUUCGUAUAAUAUAAAAAUCUUUGUCAAUGGAAAUUAAAAUCUAUACAAAGAA